rnacentral:rRNA from 1 species
AGGAAUAUUUGGCAAUGGGCGCAAGCCUGAACCAGCCAUGCCGCGUGCAGGAAGACGGCCCUAUGGGUUGUAAACUGYUUUUAUCAGGGAAUAACCCUUCGUACNUGUACGGAGCUGAAGGUCCUGAAGAAUAAGCAUCGGCUAACUCCGUGCCAGCAGCCGGGGUAAUACGGAGGAUGCAAGCGUUAUCCGGAUUCAUUGGGUUUAAAGGGUGCGCAGGCGGAUUGGUAAGUCAGGGGUGAAAUCCCACAGCUCAACUGUGGAACUGCCUUUGAUACUGCUGGUCUAGAGUAUAGUUGAAGUGGGCGGAAUGUGUCAUGUAGCGGUGAAAUGCUUAGAUAUGACACAGAACACCGAUCGCGAAGGCAGCUCGCUAAGCUAUAACUGACGCUCAUGCACGAAAGCGUGGGGAUCAAACAGGAUUAGAUACCCUGGUAGUCCACGCCGUAAACGAUGAUUACUCGAUGUUGGCGAUACACAGUCAGCGUUUAAGCGAAAGCAAUAAGUAAUCCACCUGGGGAGUAC